GCAUCUAUAGCUGGUUUGAGAGGAUGAUCAGCCACACUGGGAUUGAGACACGGCCCAGACUCCUACGGGAGGCAGCAGUGGGGAAUAUUGGACAAUGGGGGCAACCCUGAUCCAGCCAUGCCGCGUGCGUGAAGAAGGCCUUAGGGUUGUAAAGCGCUUUCACUGGUGAAGAUGAUGACGGUAGCCAGAGAAGAAGCCCCGGCUAACUCCGUGCCAGCAGCCGCGGUAAUACGGAGGGGGCAAGCGUUGUUCGGAAUUACUGGGCGUAAAGGGCGCGUAGGCGGAAUAUCAAGUUAGGGGUGAAAGGCCUGGGCUCAACCUAGGAACUGCCUUUAAAACUGAUAAUCUAGAGUCCGGAAGAGGAUGGCGGAAUUCCCAGUGUAGAG
rnacentral:rRNA from 1 species